AGCGAACGCUGGCGGCAGGCCUAACACAUGCAAGUCGAACGGGCUCUUCGGAGCUAGUGGCGGACGGGUGAGUAACACGUGGGAACGUGCCUUUAGGUUCGGAAUAAGCCCGGGAAACUGGGUCUAAUACCGAAUGUGCCCUUCGGGGGAAAGAUUUAUCGCCUUUAGAGCGGCCCGCGUCUGAUUAGCUUGUUGUGAGGUAAUGGCUCACCAAGGCGACGAUCAGUAGCUGGUCUGAGAGGAUGACCAGCCACAUUGGGACUGAGACACGGCCCAAACUCCUACGGGGGGCAGCAGUGGGGAAUCUUGCGCAAUGGGCGAAAGCCUGACGCAGCCAUGCCGCGUGGAUGAUGAAGGUCUUAGGAUUGUAAAAUCCUUUCACCGGUGAAGAUAAUGACUGUAGCCGGAGAAGAAGCCCCGGCUAACUUCGUGCCAGCAGCCGCGGUAAAAC
rnacentral:rRNA from 1 species